rnacentral:rRNA from 1 species
UUAAAUUGAAGAGUUUGAUCAUGGCUCAGAUUGAACGCUGGCGGCAGGCCUAACACAUGCAAGUCGAACGGUAACAGGAAACAGCUUGCUGUUUCGCUGACGAGUGGCGGACGGGUGAGUAAUAUCUGGGAAACUGCCUGAUGGAGGGGGAUAACUACUGGAAACGGUAGCUAAUACCGCAUAACGUCGCAAGACCAAAGAGGGG